GUAAUUUUUUGAAAGACAUUUAUUCAAUGAAAGGGCUCGGGUGGUAGCCCUGAAAUACCACUGUAGCAAAAUGGUUUCCACCGUUUGGUACGCCUGAAACCAUUCUCCUCGACCCGAUAAAUUGCAGCCGGGUUUCACUCCCUCAUCUACUAUUUUCACCCAAUUCAUGUCAACUCUAUCAGGCUGGAGGCGAGGUAUUAGUUUCUCAGUUAUCAUUUGUGCGCUGAAAGGGCUGUGUUUGGCCAUUUAUACCCUCGGGAAUAUUCAAACGACCGACGCCAAAGCUCCCUCCGCUCACCAUCUUGGCGUGUGCGUCUUCUCCCAUUGACGGCGCCGACCUAGUUUUCUCUUCAAAUUCCAACCGGCUGACAAGUUGGAAUUCAAUUCCGCCACAGGAUGGAAGCCGGAAGGCAAAAAAGGCAUGAGGAGAUGGAAGUCGCGGUCCUGAUGAUCGAGGACAUUGUCCGAGACCAUCAACAAAACUGCUUCGCAAUGUUGAAUAUGGUUAACAGCUUGGUGAGCGGCAAGGACGCCAGUUCGGAACAUAACCACGAUGCUCAGAAUCGUGUCUCAUACAGCAUGACAGACAAGAUACCUGCGCAAGUUAGACAUAUGAACCGCCUUACUGCCCUCACCGACAUUGACUGCAUAAACAAUCUCCGGAUAGACCGCAAUGCAUUCGGCCAUUUGUGUCGCAUACUCCGUGAUAGGUGUGGUUUGGUUGACCAAAGGUAUGUUCGUGUGGAGGAGCAGGUGGCGAUGUUCCUUUGCACAUUGGCUCACCACACAAAAACGCGUAUAGUUGGCUUCAGAUUCAUUCAGUCCAAGCAAACUGUUAGCCGUUAGUUAUUCAUCUGCACAAAGGCCUCUUCGUGGAACCGUCUCCGGUGGAUGACAUCCAGCUGUGACGACCCAAGGUGGAAAUGGUUUAAGGGUUGCCUUGGUGCAUUGGACGGGACAUACAUUAAUGUCUGUGUUUGUGCAGCUGAAGCUCCUCGUUACAGGAAUAGGAAAGGUGAAAUCUCAACGAACACUCUUGCAGUGUGCGACCGGUGAUAAGAAUGAAAGGGGUGAAGGGUGUUUUAGUAAUUUCUGCCACAUUUUCAAGGAUUCGUGGGCUGAACCAAACGCCACAUAAUGGGGCUGCAUAAUUUUUUGUUUGCUCUACCAAACAGACUAAACAAUUGUACAUGCACAUGGGAAAAGCCCAAUACCUAUAGAGUCAUGAAAAUAAGUUUUCAGCCCCUACCACCCGAGCCCUAAUACUAUAUUGUAAAUUAAUCUAUGUAUACAAUAUGUUUCUUGCGGUGUCUUUUCCAGUUAGAAAAAUCACUACUUGAGAAAGA